UAAGACCUAGCGUUGAUGGAGCGGCCGAUAUCUGAUUAGCUAGUUGGUGGGGUAAGAGCCUACCAAGGCGACGAUCAGUAGCUGGUCUGAGAGGACGACCAGCCACACUGGAACUGAGACACGGUCCAGACUCCUACGGGAGGCAGCAGUGGGGAAUUUUGGACAAUGGGGGCAACCCUGAUCCAGCCAUUCCGCGUGAGUGAAGAAGGCCUUCGGGUUGUAAAGCUCUUUCGCAAGGGAAGAAAACUCGAUCUCUAAUAUAGGUUGAGGCUGACGGUACCUUGAUAAGAAGCACCGGCUAACUACGUGCCAGCAGCCGCGGUAAUACGUAGGGUGCGAGCGUUAAUCGGAAUUACUGGGCGUAAAGCGUGCGCAGGCGGUUUUGAAAGUCAGAUGUGAAAUCCCCGGGCUCAACCUGGGAACUGCGUUUGAAACUACAAAGCUAG
rnacentral:rRNA from 1 species